AAGAGAGAGAGGGAGCUGCGCUGGAUUCAUUCCUGUGGGGCGGACUGGCCAUAGGGAGAACCGGAGAAUUUUUCCGGUGGGCCAGCCACGAAACGGGCCGAACAGUUGGUGAUAAGCUGAAAUGGGCCGCCGCGUUAUGCCGAACAGGCCGCAAAACUGCCUAUGUCUCCCUAUCUGGCAGUGACAUGGACAUUCUGGAUAUGAGGACAUGCUGUGCACUGUUGACAGUAUGAUUGGUCGACUUAUUGAGAUAUUUUAAUAUUUACUGUCUAAAAGGAAUACUAUAGUGCUACUGAAAAGCUCAGAGCAAAGAAGCUAUUCAGGCAUGUUCAAGCUUUUUCUGUGUGUAAGGAUCAUACCAGUUGGAGUAAAAAAAUCACCAAAUCAUCCUCUUCUCAUUUCUUUCUCAUGUGCUGCAUUUGCAUUUUACUUACCAAAAGAAACAGACUGCACUGAGAAAACUCUAACUACUAUGCAUAUGAGAAGAGGGAGAGAGAAAGAGAGAACAUAAAAGAAGUGAAAAAGAACAGAGGCAGACAGACUAAAAGGAAAUGAAAGAUAAUCUCCAAGCUACUGUCCAUUUCCACUGUAGUCACAAGCCAUCAUCUGUAAUGGGAAAAAUGCAUCAGCAUGCAUGCCACUAGAUGAGGUGCAAUCCAUGCAUUCCUUUGUCACCUAACCACAGAUAUCUUCACUCUGUGGUCUUAAAUAGUUUUUUGAUGGUAUCUUGAGACCAAUUUACAAAAUAUCUUUGCCAUUAUUACUUGAGAGCAGAGGUAUUUUGUUGGCCUGUCUUUUGGGAAGGGGGUCAUUCUCAGAGAAGUGAGUGUGCAGAGUAUCUUUAUAUGUUACCUGAGGACACCAGAGGCAUGUUAUCAUCAUCAGACCUUGCUAACUGUAUGUGGCCCUGGCUCUUGCUCUGACAACUAAAGGGACCCAUCAAUGUUUCAGCCUACAGAGAAUGACUCAAAAGGCCUUUAAAGUAAGUAAAACCCAUUCUCUUUAAUUCUGAUUACACUCUGAAAGUGUCUUUAGCAUGUGGCGGUUAAAUUGGGCUAUCAGCGAUAAGUAGAAGCGGGGAAGAAAAGAGCCAAUUAUGCCAGUCAAAGCCAGAUGAUGAUUCUCAUCUUUACUUUACUCUAACACAAACUCACACAAACAAAGAAAAAGAGUGGAGAGGAAUAUGUCUCCUUUUGUUAAAAAUAUAGAUAUAACACCCAUAUCUAGUGACAUACCUUUGUACGUUACUGUAUUCUGCAUGUUAUGUGAAAGUAUUGAGAGACACCAACAGGUGCACAAUUUUAUAUUUACUCUUACAGAUUUCCUGACCUCAGAAUGAGCCAAAAGUAAACUGACAGUUUGAUAUACUGUAACUUAAUUUACACAACAAUCAACAUACUUAUUGUUUAAAAAUAAAGAUAUACUCUCAAAAUCCACUUUUGUCAUUUAUUUAUUUUAUGCAAGGUGUAUGAUUCAAACCCUAUCAGAUAUUUAUUUGUGUAGGAUAAAAGCAAAAACCUGUAAAACCUUCAACAAUGCAGUGAGACUGAACUUAAUUCAAGUGAAUAUAUCCUGAGGGUAAUUUGUGCCAAAUCU